rnacentral:rRNA from 1 species
UACGGGGGGGGCAAGCGUUGUUCGGAAUUACUGGGCGUAAAGGGCUCGUAGGCGGCCAACUAAGUCGGAUGUGAAAUCCCCCGGCUUAACCUGGGAACUGCGUCUGAUACUGGAAGGCUUGAGUAUGGGAGAGGGAUGUAGAAUUCCAGGUGUAGCGGUGAAAUGCGUAGAUAUCUGGAGGAAUACCGGUGGCGAAGGCGGCAUCCUGGACCAUUACUGACGCUGAGGCGCGAAAGCUAGGGGAGCAAACGGG